AAUGAGGAAGACAUUGUUGUUGUGCCAAAGUCUCCACAAUCUGUAGGAAAUGUACCUUUACCUUCAAGAAAAGAGGAUGCACUUCAAAAAACUGCAGAGAGCGGCAUCCAUACCCCAGACACACAAUCCCUCGAGAGUGACUCUAAAUCUUCAUCUUCAAAUGCAAAUGCUAAGGUAAUUUCAUAACUUUUGCUGUUUUUAAUGCACAACAGAGAAAGAAAACACGGAGUUUAUAUUUUUGUUAAACACUAUCAGGAUGUAAUUAUUAUAUUAAACAUUUUGUCUUUUUAAAUGUAAUCCAAAGUUUAAAUUUAAAGUUAAAAUCUUUUUGUGAUGAUCUUUAGAGGUAAAAUAAAUAUUUUUUAGUCAUAUUCACUUACUUGUACUAUGGGUUCAUUAGUGAAAUUGUAACAUAAUGAUGCUGUUUCAUAGAGACACUGUAGUGACAAACAUUGAAAGUAUUUAUAUUUUUUUUGGAAAUAUAUAUCUGUAUGUUGCAGAGGAAUGAAUCAGAUGAAUCAGCUAAGGGCAACACAGACAGUAGCAGUUCAGGAGAAAGAUUUUUCACAUCUGGUUUGCCACAGCAGAAAACUUUCUUUUUCAUAAAUGAGAAUGAAUGGAAGGAGUUACGGCAACAUCAGUCAGGAAGACUAUUUAAAGGACUGCAGUGGACAAAUAUAAUUGCUAGUGGAAUCAGAACCCUUAAUCCGUACUGCAGUUUUGGAUUUCGGAGACACAGUGUGAAAAAACUCUCUUCAAGAUCAAAGGCACCGGUUUUCAGGUGUAUGGGGUACUGCAGAUUUCAGGACUGCGCUGUCACUGUGGAUGUGGUGGUUUAUGACGAAGAGACACUGAAAGCAGAAGUCGUUUUUAAAGGAGGUGAGGUCUGCCAUAAUAACAAAGAGCUGAAAAGGCGGCCUGUGCGUGCACAAAGUGCUGGAGAACUCCUCAAAAACAAAUUACCAAGGAGCUUGUACUUGGAGUCUUUACAGAAAGUGCCACAAAAGGUGAUCCAAUCUGGCAACAGGGAUGAUGCUCCAACAAAAGAAGUCUUGAAAAACAUUGCAUGGUCUGAAAGAAAAGCCAGUAGAGCAGAUCCCAACGAGUUGAUGAGCUUACAAAAGAUAAUUCAACAGUAUCAGGACACUGAAAAGGAUGUACUGCAGAAGAUUCUGAUGCAUCCAAAGGGCAUAAUGCUGUGGUCUAAGAAAACCUUGUCAGUUUUUCAUCAAAGAUGCAAAGAAGACAUUAUGUACUUUGAUGCCACUGGAAGUAUAAUAAGAAAAGAAAGUGCUGGAAGGCCACCAUAUUAUGUGUAUGGGUUGGUUGUCAGAAACCCAUCCAAAGGUGCUUCUCCUCUUCCAGUUGCUACAUAUGUCACAUGUGACCACACUACUGCCUCUGUGACAUACUUCUUGCAGGCCUUUCAGACUGAUCUAGUAAGAGCAUUUGGUAAUCGGGCCUACAACAGGCCUGUCAUGUUCAUGUGUGAUGGAUCCCUACUCCUUCGAUCCAUUUCCAUGACAUUCUGCAGAACAAGUCUAGAGGAUCUGCUGCAGAAGUACUAUGUCUUACUCACUGGCCAGCAUUCAGCAAAGGAAUUCAACAUUCCCAUUCUUCAUCGAUGUUUGAGCCAUGUCAUGAAAAAUGCCAAGGACCUUUGUAAAAAACACAUUCCAGAGAACUACAGGCUUGGAAUGCAUGUGUUUGGGCUCCUUGCAUGCUGUGAUAACUUAAAAGACAUGGAUGAUGUUGUCCAUAGUGCAGCAAUAGUGUUUUGCAGUCCUUGUAGUGGAAGGAACGUAACAAAACACUACAACAACUUGAAAAUCCUUAUGCAAAAAAGGGGGACUCUGGAUUUGGAUGAAAAGACUGUGAUUGCUGAGGACUACAAGGUUAGCUAA
ensembl:lncRNA